CGGACACGCCCUUCAACGAAAACUCAAGAUCUUCGCAAUUUAACAUCGCAAAGGCCUUUAGAUUAGGCAUACCAAAUUUGGUGUUGAUCUGAAUAAAUCUCUAGGAGGAGUUCGUUAAAAUACAAGGCAUGCAAAUGACAAAAAUGAUGCAAAAUUUGCUCAUAAAAUUAAAAAUAACCGACUUCCUGUUGGGUUUCGGAUAUUGCUCCAAGAGUCUUUUUUGUAGGUACUGAUGCCUUACAUAUGUGUGCCAAUUUUCGUGCAUGUACGUGAAACACAGCUCGAGGGCUGUUGAUUUUUUUACGGUAGGUGGCGCUGUCGAGCCAUUUUGCCACACCCUCUUCUGAAACCUAUAUCAGACGUAAAUUUUCACCAGGUCUGACGCGUGUGCAAAGUUUCAGGACUUUUCGAGCAUGUUUAGGCCCUCAAAAAUGCGAUUCAUUUUGGAGAAGAAGAAGAAGAAGAAGAAGAAGAAGAAGAAGAAGAAGAAGAAGAAGAAGAAUAAUUAAAGCUGCAAGCAGCGAUGAACGGGCCCUCGCACCCGGGCUCACCGCCAUUGUGUGG
ensembl:lncRNA